CCUACGGGGGGCAGCAGUGGGGAAUAUUGCGCAAUGGGCGAAAGCCUGACGCAGCGACGCCGCGUGAGGGAUGAAGGUCUUCGGAUCGUAAACCUCUGUCAGCAGGGAAGAACGGUCACUGUGCUAAUCAGCAGUGAAUUGACGGUACCUGCAAAGGAAGCACCGGCUAACUCCGUGCCAGCAGCCGCGGUAAUACGGAGGGUGCGAGCGUUAAUCGGAAUUACUGGGCGUAAAGCGCUCGUAGGCGGUAUGUCAAGUCAAGGGUGAAAUCCCCGCGCUCAACGUGGGAACUGCCUUUGAUACUGGCAAACUGGAGUGUGUGAGAGGUUGGUGGAAUUCCAGGUGUAGGAGUGAAAGCCGUAGAUAUCUGGAGGAACAUCAGUGGCGAAGGCGACUAUCUGGCACAUAACUGACGCUGAGGAGCGAAAGCGUGGGUAGCAAACAGGAUUAGAUACCCUUGUAGUC
rnacentral:rRNA from 1 species